GGGACAGACAAGCUUUCUACUGGAAACUGGCUCCAGAAGAAAUGUUAAGAUUACCUAGAAGUAGUCAACUGGUGAUGAAGGAGGAGGAGAAUAAUGCUACAUUAGUAUAGGUAAGACACAGAGUUCCAGCAAAGCAGUGGGGGAAAAUGGUUUCGAAAGACAUUGCCAAGAUGUGCAGUACUGAGAUAAUGAACGGGUUACUAUCUGGGGCAAAAGCUGAAAGGAUACAGAAAGAUGAAAAUCAUGAGGAAGAGUUGAACACAAAACCGAGAGACAGUCAAAGAGCAUAGCCAGUUCCAGCACCACAGCCAUCUAGUUCUCUAUAUCUGGACAAGGUCUCAUUCUGUCACCUAGGCUGGAAAUGCACUGGUGCAAUCACAGUUCACUGCAUCCUCAAGCAAUCCUCCCACCUCAGCCUCCCAGGUAGCUGGGACCACAGGUGCGUACCAUCACACCUGGUUAAUAUUUUAUUAUUUGUAGAGAUGGAGUCCUGCUAUGUUGCCCAGGGUGGUCUCAAACUCCUGGGCUCAAGCAAUCCUCCUGCCUUGGCCUCCCAAAAUGCUGGGAUUACAGGCAUGAGCCACUGUGCCCAAUCUAUCUAUCUUAUCUAUCUUAUCUUAUCUUAUCUUAUCUAUCUAUCUAUCUACCUACCUACCUACCUACCUACCUAC
rnacentral:lncRNA from 1 species